rnacentral:rRNA from 1 species
UACGGGGGGGGCUAGCGCUGUUCGGAAUUACUGGGCGUAAAGGGCGCGUAGGCGGCCUUCUAAGUCGGACGUGAAAUCCCUCGGCUUAACCGAGGAACUGCGUCCGAGACUGAAAGGCUUGAAUCCGGGAGAGGGAUGCGGAAUUCCAGGUGUAGCGGUGAAAUGCGUAGAUAUCUGGAGGAACACCGGUGGCGAAGGCGGCAUCCUGGACCGGCAUUGACGCUGAGGCGCGAAAGCUAGGGGAGCAAACGGG